rnacentral:tRNA from 1 species
GGAUAGAGCAACAGCCUUCUAAGCUGUGGGUCCUGGGUUCGAAUCCCAGCCCGAUCA